CCUACGGGAGGCAGCAGUGGGGAAUAUUGGACAAUGGGCGAAAGCCUGAUCCAGCCAUGCCGCGUGUGUGAAGAAGGCCUUCGGGUUGUAAAGCACUUUCAGUGGGGAAGAAAGCCUUGGGGCUAAUACCCUCGAGGAAGGACAUCACCCACAGAAGAAGCACCGGCUAACUCCGUGCCAGCAGCCGCGGUAAUACGGAGGGUGCGAGCGUUAAUCGGAAUUACUGGGCGUAAAGCGCGCGUAGGCGGUCUGAUAAGCCGGUUGUGAAAGCCCCGGGCUCAACCUGGGAACGGCAUCCGGAACUGUCAGGCUAGAGUGCAGGAGAGGGAGGUAGAAUUCCCGGUGUAGCGGUGAAAUGCGUAGAGAUCGGGAGGAAUACCAGUGGCGAAGGCGGCCUUCUGGACUGACACUGACGCUGAGGUGCGAAAGCGUGGGUAGCAAACAGGAUUAGAUACCCCAGUAGUC
rnacentral:rRNA from 1 species